rnacentral:rRNA from 1 species
AGUGAACGCUGGCGGUAGGCCUAACACAUGCAAGUCGAACGGCAGCACAGUAAGAGCUUGCUCUUACGGGUGGCGAGUGGCGGACGGGUGAGGAAUACAUCGGAAUCUACUUUUUCGUGGGGGAUAACGUAGGGAAACUUACGCUAAUACCGCAUACGACCUACGGGUGAAAGCAGGGGAUCUUCGGACCUUGCGCGAUUGAAUGAGCCGAUGUCGGAUUAGCUAGUUGGCGGGGUAAAGGCCCACCAAGGCGACGAUCCGUAGCUGGUCUGAGAGGAUGAUCAGCCACACUGGAACUGAGACACGGUCCAGACUCCUACGGGAGGCAGCAGUGGGGAAGAUUGGACAAUGGGCGCAAGCCUGAUCCAGCCAUACCGCGUGGGUGAAGAAGGCCUGCGGGUUGUAAAGCCCUUUGUUGGGAAAGAAAAGCAGCAGGUUAAUACCCCGCUGUUCUGACGGUACCCAAAGAAUAAGCACCGGCUAACUUCGUG